CAGUCGUUAUCUUUUGAUGUAAACCAAAACAUUAACCAAAAAAAAUAUCUUCUUUCAGACAUCGGUUUGCAAACACAAAAAAAAAAACAGAUUAUUUCUAAUGGCGAUUAUAGAGAGUUAUCGAGUCAUGGACGAUCUCCAGGAUCUGAGGCAGUCAAAGAAAGAUCAUGGUGAACUCCUUCGAUUUGGCAUUAAUCUCACAAAAACUCCAAAGAUUACUAUUUGACAGAAGAAAAAUAAACAUUUAACUCUCAACAGUCGGUUCGUCUUUGCUUAAGAGAUGAAGAUGAAGAUCUCCCCCGACAAAAGCACCUAAUCAAAUCCGUAGGGUUACAUCUUUGCCUUUCUCUUGAUCCAUAGCUAGCUCGUUCUGUUUAAACGUUUUAUGAAGAACAAACAAUAAUUUGAUCUAACUAAUUUUUUCGAUCUGUUUUGCAUGUUGUAUCCGAUGACUUAUAUUGUUAUUGCGAUGAGUGUUGUGAUGACUUCGAAGAAUCGAAUGCAUACUUCUUGAAAGUUUAUGCCAGACAAAUUAAUAUGGACCCCAAUACUCCGAAGGUGUGUACCACUUUGGCUUGGAUCAACCACGUCUUUUGCCAUGGCCUAAUCUGAUCAAGGAUCCAGUAUGUGACAUCGAUAUGUUUCAAUGUUGAAAAGUGAGCGUUGAUAGAGGCAACAAAAUUUUAGUUUCAAGAGCUAAGAAAAAAUGUACUUUAUAAGGAAUGAAGAACGAUUAUGGGUUUUUGUAAAACUUAGCUUGGCCCGAUGGGAAUGGAAAUUUUAAAUUAAAUUGUAGCUGGAUUAAAAGAUUUAUCGAUAAUAUAUCCAUAUAAUUAAAAAGCA